UCAAGGCACAAGUUGACGCUGAGAGGCAUAGGUUGCGGGGGGCGCUCUGGGCUUCCUGAAAGUACCGACAGGAGCGUUUAACUGACGAAGAUUUUGGAGGAACAGCAGAAGCCUGCAAGAGCAGAUUUGGUGGAAGCAACGAGAUCCAAAGCAAACUUUUGCUGGCAUUCAGGGACAACAAGAAACAAGUGUGGUACCUGAGGAACCCUUUGAGCAUUGUCUUUCUUGCCAUUUCCAAGGGCCAUGGAUUUAAGGAAACCUUUUCUCUGAAACUGUCUAUGACUUGCCACAAUUUGGAAAAUAUACCACUGUAAGCAAAAAUGAAACAUUUACUUUUUUUCCCUACCUGAUCCCUCCAAAAUUCAGAAACUCUUAAGUGUUCUUUUCUUUUGUGUGUGUGUGUAUGUGUGUGUGUGUGAGGAAGAUUAGCCCUGAGCUAACAUCUGUUGCCAAUCCUCCUCUUUUUGCUGAGUAAGAUUGGCCCUGGGCUAACAUCCAUGCCCAUCUUCCUCUACUUUAAAUGGGAUGCCACCACAGCAUGGCUUGAUAAGCGGUGCAUAGGUCCAUGCCCGGGAUCCGAACCUGCAAACCCCGGGCCACCAAAGUGGAGCACACAAACUUAACCACUACUCCACUGGGCUGGCCCCUUCAGUAUUCUUUUCAUGACAAUACAGUUAGUUAUUGGCAUAAGUUCUGCUUGUAACAGGACACUGUUGGAAACACUGGCUAUAUUACCAAGACUUUGACUGGAUUGUCAUAUUUGAGGGAGAUAUGCAUAGACUCAGAUAUGACCAGACAGUUUUAAGGAACUAAGGUUGACUUUACAGAGUGAAUAAAGCCCCAUGAAAAAAUCAACCUAGUACCUUGCUUACAAAGUUCCAGCAAAGCAGUCUUAAAAGAGCUUCUAUGGUCAAUCACUAUUUUUGCUGCUCUUAUGUAAAUGUAAAUAAUCAGGCCAAGUCUGAUGCAAACAAUUUAGUUUUACUGUGAUUAUCCUUGGAAAAAAAGAAAUGGGGAUAAUUAUAGAGAGAAAAACUAUGUUUGCACCUUUGUCUAUAUUAGAUUCUGAUCUUGUUAACUGUAUUCAAGGUUCUGUUAACUACCUGUAAACUGGGCUGGAUCCUGAAUUCUUCUAGUUUCCUCAAAUAUCUGACUACAACUCUCCAAACUAACCUUUCCAAUUCCUCCUACACUUUUGAUUUGGAAUCACUAAGAACAAAGACUGCCCUUGAAUCUCCUUGGAAGGGACUAUACCAGGUCCUCCUCACUACCCAGAUGGCAGCCAAGCUUCAGGGACUUGAACCUUAAAAGAAGGCUCCUCCUGACAUGUGGUUCUAUGCAAAUGCUGGAGACCUCCAGAUCAAAUGGACGAGGAAGAGGACUAGCUGACGUGGAGGUAGACUGCUUCCCCCCCAAGACUCUGGAU